AGAGUUUGAUCUUGGCUCAGGACUGAACGCUGGCGGCGUUGCUUAACACGUGCAAGUCGAACGAAUCCUUUCUUCGGAUGGGGUUAGUGGCAGACGGGUGCGUAACACGUAGGUGACCUGCCCUAGAGUGGGGAAUAACUAUCCUAACGGAUAGCUAAUACCGCAUAUGCUCGGUGGUUCGUUCUGCCGAGUAAAGCUCGCAAGGGCGCUUUAGGAUGGGCCUGCGGCGGAUUAGCUAGUUGGUGGGGUAAUGGCCUACCAAGGCGAUGAUCCGUAGGGGGCGUGAGAGCGUGGCCCCCCACACUGGCACUGAGAUACGGGCCAGACUCCUACGGGAGGCAGCAGUCAGGAAUAUUGCACAAUGGGCGAAAGCCUGAUGCAGCAACGCCGCGUGAGGGACGAAGGCCUUCGGGUUGUAAACCUCUUUUCUGAGAGACGAGACAAGGACGGUACCUCAGGAAUAAGUCUCGGCUAACUACGUGCCAGCAGCCGCGGUAAGACGUAGGAGGCGAGCGUUAUCCGGAUUUACUGGGCGUAAAGCGCACGCAGGCGGCUUCGUUAGUCGGAUGUGAAAGCUCCUGGCUUAACCGGGAGAGGCCAUUCGAUACUGCGAGGCUUGAGGUUGGGAGAGGGGUGUGGAAUUCCCGGUGUAGUGGUGGAAUGCGUAGAUAUCGGGAGGAACACCUGUGGCGAAAGCGGCACCCUGGCCCACACCUGACGCUGAGGUGCGAAAGCGUGGGUAGCAAACAGGAUUAGAUACCCUGGUAGUCCACGCCGUAAACGAUGUCAACUGGGUGUCGGUGGUUUUACACUAUCGGUGCCGAAGCAAACGCGUUAAGUUGACCGCCUGGGGACUACGGCCGCAAGGCUAAAACUCAAAGGAAUUGACGG
rnacentral:rRNA from 1 species